rnacentral:rRNA from 1 species
GUGAAUGGCAAUGCCAUCCUGCACUUGCUGGAUCUCAUCUGAUCUCAGAGGCUAAGCAGGGUCAGGCCUGGUUAGUAAUUGGACAGAAGAAUUAGCACUGUAGACU